rnacentral:rRNA from 1 species
CCUACGGGUGGCAGCAGUGAGGAAUAUUGGUCAAUGGGCUUACGCCUGAACCAGCCAAGUCGCGUGCGGGAAGACUGCCCUAUGGGUUGUAAACCUCUUUUGUCCGGGAGCAAUUCGCGCUACGUGUAGCGUUCUCGAUAGUCCCUGUAGAUAAAGCCUCGGCUAACUCCGUGCCAGGAGCCGCGUUAUUCCGAAGGAGGCGAGCUUUACCCGGAUUUUUUGGGUUAAAGGGGUGCGUGGGCGGAAUGCCAAGUCAGCGGGAAAAGCGCGGGGCGCACCCUGGCUCUGCAGUUGAAACUGGCGUGCUUGAGUGGGCGAGAAGUAGGCGGAAUGCGUGGUGUAGCGGUGAAAUGCAUAGAUAUCACGAAGAACUCCGAUUGCGAAGGCAGCAUACCGGAGCGCAACUGACGCUGAAGCACGAAAGCGUGGGUAUCGAACAGGAUUAGAUACCAUUGUAGUC